UUAGUGUCAGGCUGAGUCAAAGAAUAUCAGUGUGUAAGAGAAGAAAGUGUUUUCCAUCUUCUCCCUUUGCCAAAGUUUGUGGGAACAGAAACAUCAAAAUUAAUACCAUCUAUAUGAGAUGAAUGGUCAUGAUGUUACAACUAAAUUAGAGCCUAAUUUGAGCACUUUCUCCACCAGUUGUUGCUUCCAGAUUUGACAGCCAGUCUUCAUGAUGGGGCCCAGGCCAAACACCCGUGCAAUUGGUGGGCUAAAGAAACACGCUUUCUGUGCAAAGCUAAGAAUGUAUUGAUUAGACUUUGAAGACUAAUUAAACUAACAAAAUUAUUAUUAGUCCAGUUGCUAAUAAUUAUGUUACUAACACUUACAGUCUAGAUUAUCCAGUUAUUACAACUCAUUUCCAAUAAAGAUACAGUUAAAAUUGAUAUCCAUAAACUUUUCAGUUAGCUACCUCUUUCUCUGUUGCUAUGCUUAUCCUUCAUCUUGGUUCUAAGGUUAAUGGUGUUUUCCUGAAGAAGAAGAAAUGGGGCUUUAUGUUGCCUUUACAGAUACAGAGACCUUCAAGACUGAGAAACUGAAAGAGCUAAAAUGAAUGGAUUUUAGGCCAGCCUAAGGUUGACUUCAUCUCACUGCAAUGGUCACUGAAAUUUAAGCAUGUCCUUAAUGUGGUUUGCCUCUCUUGCCCUACUACUGCUGCUGGCUGGCCUGUGAAAGAACACAAACCAGAAAGAAUUACUGGGUCGGACUAAAACCUGCAAUUAGUCAGAAGUAGGGGCACAUACUGUGCAUACGUGAAGCCU
rnacentral:lncRNA from 1 species